CAGGACAUGAGGCAGGGCAUGGGUGCUGUGAGCUGGGGAGAGCUGCAGGUGUGGGACACGGUCACAUUCGGGUUAGAAAAUCCUGAGGUUUAUUUUUUCAGUGAUGGAGAAGGCACCGCCAUCCCGGGCAAAUUGCUGCCUUCAUUAAGAGCUCUUGAGAUGGGAAAUGAAUCAGUUUAAGUCACACCAGGCUGAACGUUGACUUCCAGCUCUGGGAACUCUUGAUAAGUUUGCCUGCUCGAUUGCAGAGUGGCCCCCUAUAAGAUUUCAGAGCACCAGAGCUGCUGUGAUAGACGUGCAUCCCUCCCAGCCAACCCCGGACUGCAAGGAGACCACGCUGCAAAGCAAUGGAUCUGGGCAGAGCUUGGCCAGGCAGGAGCAGGGCUGAGAAUGUCACUGCAGAGCUGGCCAAGCUGCUCACCGCAACACACGAACCCCAGCUCCCGCCUGGUGCUGCCUGAAUGCUGCACGGAGCAGCCAUGUGAAAUAACUCCUGGGGUAGAUAGCAGUAAUCUGAGCGCAACUGCAGAUGAGAAAAUCCUGCCCAUUGUCCUGCCCUGAUGAAAUUAAACCCGGCACCUUGCACAGCUGCUGCCAAACCCGGCAGCGUUGUUCCUUUGUGCUCAUACGUAAGCUCAGUUCUCUGCCAUCCCACAAGGAGCAUCACUCACAGCCUGCGGGAAGACAAAACCUUCCUCCCAGUCUCACACAGCUCUGGUGCACCCAAUUCUGCUGUUACUGACAGUGGUGUAUUCUGGGGUGAAGGCCUGGCUUACAUCGCUACAUGAACAAUGGCUUGUUGUUGUUGUCUCCACCUUCCUUUGUACCUAAUAAAACAAGAUUUUGG
ensembl:lncRNA